rnacentral:lncRNA from 1 species
AAAAAGUUCAAUAUCCGCUCUUUUAUGAAUACUCUAUAAAAACUUUUAUGCAUUUUGCACCAUUUGUGCCGAUAUAUGGUUUGCUUUCCUUUAUAUAGAGUUUGCUAUAAUUUCAUUUUAUACCAUUCCAUUUUUCAUCAACAAGCCUAGUUGGGGUCUUCGCUUCCUCAAGGAAAGAUGGAAAUUUUCAUAGGUCGGUCUUUUCCCAAGCACGAGUGUAACAAUCUACUGAAGUUGCCAUCGGCAGAAGGCAAUAUAUAGUCAACAGGUGGGAAGUUUUUCCAUUUUUCCUGAUAAAUGAUUAGCUACAAAAGGAUUUUUUUUAGUGAACGUGUCACAGCUGAUUACUCCUUUUUUUUACAUUUUUAAGAUUGGCAUUCUAUGUCCAAUAUCUCGAU